GUGAAAGAGGCUGCCAUCGGUAUCCAGAAGAAGGUGUUACUUCGGUACCCAUACUCAUAAUCCAUAUGCUCCUGAAAUCAUGUGGAACAUGCAACUAGGACCUUCUGAACACGUAGCCUGAUUUACUUAUGAAGAAGCAAAUUCAACCAAGUGAUACGAAUUGUCUAAGGUCAUACAGUUAAUAACUUGUAAGAGCCCAGCACAGCACAGAUUUACAAAAUGAUACACAAAGACCUCAGAGGAAGCGAACUUUUGCUAUUGCACAGACCUGCUGCCUCCAGAGCGCCACGCCACUGAUUGUUUUCCUUGUUUCGUG